UACGUAGGGGGCAAGCGUUGUCCGGAAUCAUUGGGCGUAAAGAGCGUGUAGGCGGUCCGGUAAGUCGGCUGUGAAAGUCCAGGGCUCAACCCUGGGAUGCCGGUCGAUACUGCCGGACUAGAGUUCGGAAGAGGCGAGUGGAAUUCCCGGUGUAGCGGUGAAAUGCGCAGAUAUCGGGAGGAACACCGGUGGCGAAGGCGGAUCUCUGGGCCUGUCCUGACGCUGAGGCGCGAAAGCUAGGGGAGCGAACAGG
rnacentral:rRNA from 1 species